UACGUAGGGUGCAAGCGUUAAUCGGAAUUACUGGGCGUAAAGCGUGCGCAGGCGGUUAUGCAAGACAGGUGUGAAAUUCCCGGGCUUAACCUGGGAACCGCAUUUGUGACUGCAUAGCUGGAGUACGGCAGAGGGGGAUGGAAUUCCGCGUGUAGCAGUGAAAUGCGUAGAUAUGCGGAGGAACACCGAUGGCGAAGGCAGUCCCCUGGGCCUGUACUGACGCUCAUGCACGAAAGCGUGGGGAGCAAACAGG
rnacentral:rRNA from 1 species